rnacentral:rRNA from 1 species
AAUACAGAAGGUUGACCUCGAAUCAGGUAGGAAUACCCGCUGAACUUAAGCAUAUCAAUAAGCGGAGGA